ACGAAGUCCGCAUGUAGGAAAUAGACUAUAGUCUGUUUCGAGAACGAGGCUGAAAUGUCAAGUCAGCAGCCAUAUUGAAACGAAAACAAUUAGGAAGCAGGGCGGUGUUGUAAAGUUUCCUUUGUCUGCAGUUAUCCCAGCUACUAACAAAGCAAGUUUAGCUGUGUCUCCACCAGCAGACAUUUUUGACUGAAGUGUUGUUGAAACAAAGCCAGUAUAAAGUGUGCCACUACCACACAAGUGAACAGGACUUAAACAAUCAGGAAGUUGUGUUUGUGUUUACAUCUCUACACCAGGAAGUUAUAUCAAAACAGAUCUUGUAGUUAUUACCUCUCCUCCAUUAUACUAUUUACACUUGUCUAGUGCUGCAUCGGGACAUGUCAAUGG